AGUAGAGACGGAAUUUUGCCAUGUUGCCCAGGCUGGUCUCGAACUCCCGGACUCAAGCGAUCCUCCCGCCUUGGCCUCCCAAAAUGCUGGAAUUAUAAGCAUGAGCCACUGUGUCCAGUGACAGUAGGCCUUUAGUUGGCUCAGUGCCACAUUGCUUUUUGAAUAAAUCCUGCCUGUGUGACCUUUAAAAUUCUGAGAGAGAGAAACAUAUAUAUGGAAGGAGCUCAGAAUUACAGUUGAUUGGGCUUGGUCAUAAGCAUCCUUGCGGAGGCAGUACCUUUCCAGAUCCCUCUUUCUCAAAUAGUUGGAGUGCAGUAUUGCUAUUUCAUGGGCAUUUUGAGACAAAAGCUAGCUCUGAUUUAACUGGAAUCAAGUCGUGCAAGUCUUUAAAGUUGAAGCUUUAGAAAAAUUGCGUCAUUUUUGGCUGCAUUGCAUUAGCUAGCCUGCAUGUUCAGCAGCUGUGGAAGCUGUUACAAAUUGCUACGUGUUAAGAACAAGUCUAGUUGUGAGGCAGAAGCUCUGCUGUGGCUGUGCCUUGUGCCAUUACCUGCCUUUGACAAGCCCAGGGACAGCAGUGCUUUGCAUGUCCUCAUGUUGAACUCUCACUUGCAGGUAGUUACCUUAGAAUGCCAAAUAUGCUGUCAGGUUGAUCUAGUUAUAAAAGGCUCAUAUCACAGACAUUUAUAUUGAACUGUAUGUUAUUAUUAAUAAGGAAUUCUUAUGAUAGCUAGAAAUCACAUGCUUUGGAACUAAAAAUAGAGGACUGCCUCUCACAUUCCCUCCCUGGGCCUGUGCUGCGUCGUCGCGCUGCGUAUUUGGAUGCUAUCCUUCGGAACGCCACACUCGAGUGAUGUUGCUCAGGCAAUGUCUGACCUUGGAUCUGGAGUGGGAGAGCAGGAUGGGGGACUGAUUGGUGCCGAAGAGAAAGUGAUUAACAGUAAGAAUAAAGUGGAUGAAAACAUGGUCAUUGACGAGACUCUGGACGUUAAGGAAAUGAUUUUCAAUGCCGAGAGAGUUGGAGGCCUUGAGGAAGAGCGGGAAUCCGUGGGCCCACUGCGGGAGGACUUCAGUCUGAGUAGCAGUGCCCUCAUUGGCCUGCUGGUCAUCGCAGUGGCCAUUGCCACGGUCAUCGUCAUCAGCCUGGUGAUGCUGAGGAAGAGGCAGUAUGGCACCAUCAGCCACGGGAUCGUGGAGGUUGAUCCAAUGCUCACCCCAGAAGAGCGUCACCUGAACAAGAUGCAGAACCAUGGCUAUGAGAACCCCACCUACAAAUACCUGGAGCAGAUGCAGAUUUAGGUGGCAUGGAGUGUGGCAGCCCUGGCGGAGGGGUGCAGGCGGGCUGGAAGAUCCCACGAUUCCGAUCGACUGCCAAGCGGCAGCUGCUGCCAGGGGCUGCGUCUGACAUCCUGACCUCCUGGACUGU
rnacentral:sRNA from 1 species